rnacentral:rRNA from 1 species
AUUGAACGCUGGCGGCAUGCUUUACACAUGCAAGUCGAACGGCAGCGCGGGCUUCGGCCUGGCGGCGAGUGGCGAACGGGUGAGUAAUGCAUCGGAACGUGCCCAGUAGUGGGGGAUAGCCCGGCGAAAGCCGGAUUAAUACCGCAUACGACCUGAGGGUGAAAGCGGGGGACCGAAAGGCCCCGCGCUAUUGGAGCGGCCGAUGUCGGAUUAGCUAGUUGGUGGGGUAAAGGCUUACCAAGGCGACGAUCCGUAGCUGGUCUGAGAGGACGACCAGCCACACUGGGACUGAGACACGGCCCAGACUCCUACGGGAGGCAGCAGUGGGGAAUUUUGGACAAAGGGGGCAACCCUGAUCCAGCCAUGCCGCGUGCGGGAAGAAGGCCUUCGGGUUGUAAACCGCUUUUGUUCGGGAAGAAAUCCUCUGGGCUAAUACCCCGGGGGGAUGACGGUACCGGAAGAAUAAGCACCGGCUAACUACGUG